GGCUGGAUAGCUCAGUCAGUAGAGCGUGAGAAUUUUAAUCCUAGGGUUGUGGGUUCAAGCCCCACUUUGGGUU